rnacentral:rRNA from 1 species
AUCUACAGCCAUGGCACCCUGAACACUCCCAAUCCUGUCUGAUCUUGGAAGCUAAGCAGGGAUGGGCCUGGUUAGUUCUUGAAUGGGAGAUCACCUAGAAAUACCUGGUGCUGUAGGCA